GACCUGAUAGCACAAUGGCCAGUGUCUCUGCAAUAUUUGGACUAUUGGCGAACCGGUUGAGCAGAGGAUCCCCGUUCGAUUCGGGGUCAGGCCG